rnacentral:rRNA from 1 species
GAUGAACGCUAGCUACAGGCUUAACACAUGCAAGUCGAAGGGAAACGACAUCGAAAGCUUGCUUUUGAUGGGCGUCGACCGGCGCACGGGUGAGUAACGCGUAUCCAACCUGCCCAUCACUUGGGAAUAACCUUGCGAAAGUAAGACUAAUACCCAAUGACAUCCCACGAAGACAUCUGAAUGGGAUUAAAGAUUUAUCGGUGAUGGAUGGGGAUGCGUCUGAUUAGCUUGUUGGCGGGGUAACGGCCCACCAAGGCAACGAUCAGUAGGGGUUCUGAGAGGAAGGUCCCCCACAUUGGAACUGAGACACGGUCCAAACUCCUACGGGAGGCAGCAGUGAGGAAUAUUGGUCAAUGGGCGAGAGCCUGAACCAGCCAAGUAGCGUGCAGGAUGACGGCCCUAUGGGUUGUAAACUGCUUUUAUAAGGGAAUAAAGUGGGUCUCGUGAGACUUUUUGCAUGUACCUUAUGAAUAAGGACCGGCUAAUUCCGUG